GACAGAGGAUGCAAGCGUUAUCCGGAAUGAUUGGGCGUAAAGCGUCUGUAGGUGGCUUUUUAAGUCCGCCGUCAAAUCCCAGGGCUCAACCCUGGACAGGCGGUGGAAACUACCAAGCUGGAGUACGGUAGGGGCAGAGGCAAGUGGAAUUGGUAGUGUAGCAGUGAAAUGCGUAGAUAUUACCAGGAACACCAAUGGCGAAGGCAGCUUGCUGGGCCACUCCUGACACUGAGGUACGAAAGCGUGGGGAGCGAAC
rnacentral:rRNA from 1 species